rnacentral:misc_RNA from 1 species
AAGUCGUAACAAGGUCUCCGUAGGUGAACCUGCGGAGGGAUCAUUACUGAGUGAGGGCUCACGCCCGACCUCCAACCCUUUGUGAACGUAACUUGUUGCUUCGGGGGCGACCCUGCCGUCAUCUGGCGACGGGCGCCCCCGGAGGCCUUCUAACACUGCAUCUCUGCGUCGGAGUAAAAGUUAAUUAAACAAAACUUUCAACAACGGAUCUCUUGGUUCUG